rnacentral:rRNA from 1 species
CAGCCGCCGCGGUAAUACGAAGGGGGCUAGCGUUGUUCGGAAUUACUGGGCGUAAAGCGCACGUAGGCGGAUCGAUCAGUCAGGGGUGAAAUCCCAGGGCUCAACCCUGGAACUGCCUUUGAUACUGUCGAUCUGGAGUAUGGAAGAGGUGAGUGGAAUUCCGAGUGUAGAGGUGAAAUUCGUAGAUAUUCGGAGGAACACCAGUGGCGAAGGCGGCUCACUGGUCCAUUACUGACGCUGAGGUGCGAAAGCGUGGGGAGCAAACAGGAUUAGAUACCCCCGUAGUCCCUGUCUCUUAUAC